rnacentral:lncRNA from 1 species
AUUUAAAGCAGAUCAAGGCAGACCUGGGGAAGAUUUCAGAUGAUCCUGGUAGGUACAAAAAUGUCCCACAGGGUCUAGGGCAAACCUUNNNNNNNNNNNNNNNNNNNNNNNNNNNNNNNNNNNNNNNNNNNNNNNNNNNNNNNNNNNNNNAUCUCACUGUCUGGACUACUCAUGAUGUAAAUGGCAUACUAGGUGCCAAAGGAAGUUUAUGGCUAUUAUUAUUUUUUAAAUUUAGCUGUAUUUUAAAACAACAAAUGAAAAGAUUUUGAUUUCUGAAUGUGAUAAGAUUACACAAACAAAAUGCAGAACAUAUAUUUAAAAAGAAAUAAUAACACUUUGAUAAUAUGUUGACUAUAAUUCUGAAAAAGAUGCUCAUAUUCACAAGAAUAGCUGUGGUAAUAAUUAUGAUUCUUAAAAAUGAAACAAGACUAAAAUACUGAAAACUAACCAUUGUAUAAGAGAGGGAACUCUGACUGUUUUAUGUAUUUUGUUCCCAAAGUAGAGAUAGUAAUCUUUAAGACUUUAGGGAUUUGAGGAAAUUUGUUACCAAUCUCAAGCGAAUCUUUUAUUUUGUAUAAUUUUGUAGGGUACAAGUGUAACUUUGUUCCAUGGAUAUAUUGCAUAGUGGUUAAGGUAGUGGUGAAGUCAUAGCUUUUAAUGUAUCCAUCACCAGAAUAACAUACACUGUACCCAUUAAGUUAUUACUCAUCCCCCACCUCCUCUUAAUCCCCUUUGAAGUCUCCAGUGUCUAUUAUUCCAUGCUUUAUGUCCCUGUGCACAUGUUAUUUAGCUCACAGUUGUGAGAACAAGCAGUAUUUGUCUUUCUGUGUUUGAGUUGUUUCACUUAAGAUAAUGACCUCUAAUUCUAUCCAUGUUGUUGCAAAAGACAUGAUUUCAUUGUUAUAAAAGGUUGAAUAGUAUUCCAUUGAGUAUAUAUACCACAUUUCCUUUAUCCAGUCACGGUUGAUGUACACUUAGUUUGAUUCUGUAUCUUUGCUAUUGUGUAUAAUGCUGCGAUAAACACUUUAGAUUGUACAUCUAUCUAAACAAUGAACAUAGUGAAAAGAGUAAGUGUUUAGGGAUCAAUAAGACAAUUAUCAUAGCCUGUGACUUUAGACAAUUAAUCUUCCUGAACUUCAAUUUCUCUAUGUUUACAAUAGGAAGAAUAGUACCUAUCUCAUGGGGUUACUGUGAGGUCUGGAAAAGAUAGCAUAUGUAAAGCACCCUGAAUAGAAGCUGGAGCAUAAUUAGUAUUAACUAACUGUUAUUUUCUCUAUGUUUGUGUGCAUAUAUGUGUGUUAUACAUCAUCAGUUUAUUCUGUAGGCAACAUAAGAGUUCCUGGGGCUGCUUAUACUGUUCCAAGUGCCCAUAUUGUGCCUUUGGUCAUUUGAGAAUAUACACUUUAAAAAAUAAUAUGUAUUUUAAUCUUCCUUUUAUAGAUAAAUAUUUAUUGAGAGUCUAACUAGAAUUAAGAUACUGAGUCAAGCACUGAGGUAUCCACAGAUAUGAAUCAGACUGGAAAUCUACCUUGACAGAACUCAGAGUACAGUUAGAGGCAUGUGUACAUCUAUAACUGCCAUGCCAAGUGUGUGAGGAUAAGCUUAAACAGUCACCAGUAGACAGCCAUGGAUACUCAAGAGCAGAGAAGGGGUAGUUGCCAUUUGGAGUGGGGUUUGAAGAUGUCUAUGUGUAUGGAUGAAGGCAUUUGAGAGUGACUGUGAAGUAAAGCUAAAAGGUGAACCUACAUCACUGGACAAAGGGAAAUUCUAGACAGUGGUCAUAGCAUGAGUAAAAACAAAAUAAUGUUUGCUGUUCAGGGACUUACAAGUAUGCUUAAUUGGCCCAAGUAUUAGGAUGCAAGUGAAAGAUUAAAAGGUUAGAAAAGAGGCUAGGGUCAAAAAAUAGAAAACUUUGAGUAUCUGGUAGGAGUGUUGACUUUUUCUUUUGAUUGACUAAAUAUGAUACCUCUUUUUGCUUUCAUUAAGCUUCUAAAACGACU